UACGUAGGGUGCGAGCGUUAAUCGGAAUUACUGGGCGUAAAGCGUGCGCAGGCGGCUUUGCAAGACAGAUGCGAAAUCCCCGGGCUCAACCUGGGAACUGCAUUUGUGACUGCAAGGCUAGAGUACGGCAGAGGGGGAUGGAAUUCCGCGUGUAGCAGUGAAAUGCGUAGAUAUGCGGAGGAACACCAAUGGCGAAGGCAAUCCCCUGGGCCUGUACUGACGCUCAUGCACGAAAGCGUGGGGAGCAAACAGG
rnacentral:rRNA from 1 species